rnacentral:lncRNA from 13 species
UCUCAUUUCUGUGUUCUAUUAAAUUAAAAAAUAAAUUAAAAGUUUUGUAUCGAUGUAGGACUUUGUCAUAUCUGCACAGAGUAAUUAAUUCCUAAUAAUUUAUCUUGUUUUAGACUAAACCUAUUUAGAGAUUAUAAUAGUCCUCAUAUGAUAUGUAAUAAGGCCCAAAGUCAGCUUUUCUGUAGCUUGAACCUUAACCCUUUUAUUCAGAGAAGACUGAAAUAGAGAAAACCCCAGAAAUUAUAAGAAUGAAAUUCCAUCCAGAAUCUUGUCAAAUAUUCUGUGUUCCCUUUCAAAAACAAAAAAUAAGGAAUUAUAACCAUAAGAAGAUCCAACCUUAUCAUUAUUUAACAGAGACCAGAGAAAGCCUACCUCUAAAAGCUGUUGAGCUGAAGAUCAAAUGCAGAGUACAAGAAAUUGCCACAGCCACCCCACCUUUAAGCAACCACCACCCUGAUCAGUCAGCAGUCAUCAAUGAGACAAGAAACUGCACCAUCGAAAAGAUUACAAGUUGCUGUAGGCUCAGAAAAUUGGUAGCAUUUUUAGCAAUAAAAUGUUGCUUUAUGGCAUUAUUCACUUUGUUGCCGUGGUCUGGAACUGAAGUAGCAAUAUCUCCAAGAGUCAAGGAAACAUUUCUUUUGAACUAUUAACAGCUUUUAAUAAUUACAUAAAAUAUACACCUGUGAGCAAAAUUUGGAGCAUAUUUGUUUCUCUCUACCUGAUUUCUCCAUAAUUUGGAAACAAUUUGUGAGUAUUCUUACCUUAUGGCAAUAUAGUUAUUUAUAU